rnacentral:rRNA from 1 species
UACGUAGGGGGCAAGCGUUGUCCGGAAUCAUUGGGCGUAGAGCGCGUGUAGGCGGCCCGGUAAGUCCGCUGUGAAAGUCGGGGGCUCAACCCUCGGAUGCCGGUGGAUACUGUCGGGCUAGAGUGCGGGAGAGGCGAGUGGAAUUCCUGGUGUAGCGGUGAAAUGCGCAGAUAUCAGGAGGAACACCAAUUGCGAAGGCAGCUCGCUGGAACGUUACUGACGCUGAGACGCGAAAGCGUGGGGAGCAAACAGG